AUUGAACGCUGGCGGCAGGCCUAACACAUGCAAGUCGAGCGGAGCGGCGGACGGGUGAGUAUUGCCUAGGAAUCUGCAUGUUAGUGGGGGAUAACGUCCGCAAACGGGCGCUAAUACCGCAUACUAUCAGAUGAGUCUAGGUGGGAUUCGCUAGUUGGUGGGGUAAAGGCCUACCAAGGCGCCGAUCCGUAACCGGUCUGAGAGGAUGAUCAGUCACACUGGAAAUGAGACACGGUCCAGACUCCUACGGGAGGCAGCAGUGGUGAAUAUUGGACAAUGGGCGAAAGCCUGAUCCAGCCAUGCCGCGUGUGUGAAGAAGGUCUUCGGAUUGUAAAGCACUUUAAGUUGGGAGGCGUUACCAACAGAAUAAGCACCGGCUAACUUCGUGCCAGCAGCCGCGGUAAUUC
rnacentral:rRNA from 1 species